UAGACCUCACAGUGAAAUGCUGAAUACAACAGGUGUAGUAGACCUCACAGUGAAAUGCUGAAUACAACAGGUCUAGUAGAUCUCACAGUGAAAUGCUGAAUACAACAGGUGUAGUAGACCUCACAGUGAAAUGCUGAAUACAACAGGUGUAGUAGACCUCACAGUGAAAUGCUGAAUACAACAGGUGUAGUAGACCUCACAGUGAAAUGAUGAAUACAACAGGUGUAGUAGACCUCACAGUGAAAUGCUGAAUACAACAGGUGUAGUAGACCUUACAGUGAAAUGAUGAAUACAACAGGUGUAGUAGACCUCACAGUGAAAUGCUGAAUACAACAGGUGUAGUAGACCUCACAGUGAAAUGCUGAAUACAACAGGUGUAGUAGACCUCACAGUGAAAUGCUGAAUACAACAGGUGUAGUAGACCUUACAGUGAAAUGCUGAAUACAACAGGUGUAGUAGACCUCACAGUGAAAUGCUGAAUACAACAGGUGUAGUAGACCUUACAGUGAAAUGAUGAAUACAACAGGUGUAGUAGACCUCACAGUGAAAUGCUGAAUACAACAGGUGUAGUAGACCUCACAGUGAAAUGCUGAAUACAACAAGUGUAGUAGACCUUACAGUGAAAUGCUGAAUACAACAGGUGUAGUAGACCUCACAGUGAAAUGCUGAAUACAACAAGUGUAGUAGACCUCACAGUGAAAUGCUGAAUACAACAGGUGUAGUAGACCUCACAGUGAAAUGCUGAAUACAACAGGUGUAGUAGACCUCACAGUGAAAUGCUGAAUACAACAAGUGUAGUAGACCUCACAGUGAAAUGCUGAAUACAACAGGUGUAGUAGACCUCACAGUGAAAUGCUGAAUACAACAGGUGUAGUAGACCUUACCGUGAAAUGCUGAAUACAACAGGUGUAGUAGACCUCACAGUGAAAUGCUGAAUACAACAGGUGUAGUAGACCUCACAGUGAAAUGCUGAAUACAACAAGUGUAGUAGACCUCACAGUGAAAUGCUGAAUACAACAGGUGUAGUAGACCUUACCGUGAAAUGCUGAAUACAACAGGUGUAGUAGACCUCACAGUGAAAUGCUGAAUACAACAGGUGUAGUAGACCUCACAGUGAAAUGAUGAAUACAACAGGUGUAGUAGACCUUACAGUGAAAUGAUGAAUACAACAGGUGUAGUAGACCUCACAGUGAAAUGCUGAAUACAACAGGUGUAGUAGACCUUACAGUGAAAUGCUGAAUACAACAGGUGUAGUAGACCUCACAGUGAAAUGCUGAAUACAACAGGUGUAGUCGACCUUACAGUGAAAUGCUGAAUACAACAGGUGUAGUAGACCUCACAGUGAAAUGCUGAAUACAACAGGUGUAGUAGACCUCACAGUGAAAUGCUGAAUACAACAGGUGUAGUAGACCUUACAGUGAAAUGCUGAAUACAACAGGUGUAGUAGACCUCACAGUGAAAUGCUGAAUACAACAUGUGUAGUAGACCUCACAGUGAAAUGCUGAAUACAACAGGUGUAGUAGACCUUACAGUGAAAUGCUGAAUACAACAGGUGUAGUAGACCUCACAGUGAAAUGCUGAAUACAACAGGUGUAGUAGACCUCACAGUGAAAUGAUGAAUACAACAGGUGUAGUAGACCUUACAGUGAAAUGCUGAAUACAACAGGUGUAGUAGACC